rnacentral:misc_RNA from 1 species
UCCCCUCACUGUGUUGGGGGAAAAGAUGGCGGUGUAGAGUGACGGGCGGCGCACCUCUAGCCCUCGCCCCGUGCUUUCUUCGAUUGUAAAACUUGACUAUGGAAGAAGUGGAGGAGGAGAUGGAAGGGGAGGAUAAUUGAACCUCCCUCCUAUAUAAAAACGGUAUUCAUGAGUGAUGUAAACUUCUAAAAAGGCAUUAAAUCAGGGGAGAAAACAGACGAAAGGAAAGACUGAACCUUCUACAGAGAGGGCGAGUCGGUCGGUCAAUCGGUGGGUUCCCGAAUACUCUCUACCUCGUGUCAUACUCGCAUCUGUCAACAAUCACCAACCCCGGGAUAUUUGGCCUCAUCUUCCUGCCUGUCAACCACCACCAGGGCGCCACCGUCAACUUACACCUACACAUACAGACCAGGGAGGACCCCGCCCCUCCUGACGUGUGGGUGCUCUAGCGUUCACCUGUUGCUGUGUGCCUCACCUUGCGGCACGCCCACCUCGUGACCCUUGACCUGUGUGGGUGACGUCAUACUUGAGGGGAGAGUGUUGAGGGAAGGAGCAGGAUGCCCUACCCACAGUGCUGCCAGGAUGCUGCCUCCCGCUGACACCCGCAGCGACUGGUGCCACUACCUCGCCCCCCGGGAGGCUCUCACUUCCUCCCUCACUUGUCACCUAUCAUGUCUACUACUGUGUUGAGGCACGAGCGACUCCCAGCAACUUAAGUCAAGAUCUUCUCAGUGUGACCUGAUCCUCUGUGACCUUCAGCAGUGUUGACGACCCACAACUCUAAGUCGUCCUCUACCUUUGUGAGCGGCACGAGCGGAAGUGACUCAGCCGCUCCCCGACACCUGCUAGCAACAGCUGGUACACACCUGGUGCUGCCGCAGCCUCCAUCACCCACACCCCGCCGUGCUACCUCUACACCCACCUCCCACACCCGCCGCCACACGACUCUCCUCUAUAUAAGUGUCAUUAUAACAUUUCUUGUGAACAACACUGUAUGUGACAGUCGCCUGUGCUUGUGCUAAGCUAAGUGUUAUAGCAGCAAUAAUGUGUUGACGUGAUUAAUUCCUGAGUGUGCUGUGUUGUGCUACUGAUGCUGGUGGUGCUCGUCCAGUAGACUCACACUACCUGUGUUAUACUGUAAUUGGGAUGAAGGUGUGAGUUGGUAUUUCACUAGGAUACAAGGAGGUGCAAUAUACGGCUACUUAUCUGUCACUCCCACCUUAUGACUCCCUUACCUGUGACGGAUUAAGUCAAGAAAACUUAUCCCAGGGGAAAGAAGGUGAGAUAUUGGUUACUGUGAGACGUGAGGGAGACUGGCGUGAUCCAGGCGAGUACUGGAGGGAGAGCUAGGAGGUGGUGGUGGCGGGCGGGGGGCGGUGAGGGUGGUGGUAAGACCGCCCAUGCUCACCCCUGGCCCGGCGUCUCUCUAUGUUGAGGAGCGUGGGCGUGUGUUGGCAGGGGGUGGGCCGAGGCAUCUACAAAAGCGAGGGUGGUGUGGGCGGUGUGGGCGUGAGGUCGCCCUCCGUCGCCGCCAUGCUCUACUACUCCGUCGACCCUCAGUUUAGCGCCCUUAUCUUCUCCGUGUGUGGCCGCCAUGAGCGCUUCACCCUCUUCCCCGAUGCCUUUGCCUGUUACGCCCACGGACACCCGGGGGCCACCGACGUCCUGGCCUAUGUCCACACCAUGGGCGUCCAGCUGGCCACCUUGGGCGAUCACUACGCUUGUUUCCUCACUCAAGUACGGGCGGGGAGCGUCAUUUUUUUAGUGGGCGUGGGAUCACUUGUGUGCUGGAAGCUAUGGGAGCACUGGAGAAAUGGUGCCGAUGGCUCCUCCACGCCACCACCCACGCCCACGGCCUCACCACCAGCCCGUCGCCCACGGGGUAUCCUCGCCUCACUUCUGGAGGAGGACCUGGUGCAGGACCCAGAUGAAUACGAGGAUGAGGACCCCGCCUUCAUCCAGCUUAUGUUGGAUUUAAGUCGACAAUACAUCGCGAAGCUGGUCGUGGGGAAGUACUUUGGCCCUGACAGUCCAAGUGAAGAGGUCCCAUGUGAUGAAGGAUCUGUACUGAGUUCUGACGUAAGUGAGGCCAGCAACAGCGAGGCACUCGCCCAACCUUAUCAUGCAGAUGCUAGUGCCUCCUAUUCUGUUGGAGAUGGGGCUUCCUCUUCUGGUGAAGACAGUCUACCCACUGAUGAGGAUUCCGAUGAAGAACUUCGCAAUGGCAACAAGAGAGUUGUUAAGAGGAAGCACAAGGCCUCAGAGCUACAUAAGAAUCAGGCUACUCCAAGACACUGCGUAUCUAAACCCAGCGCUGUCCAGGUGGUGGUGGUUCCUCUCUCUAGUAGUGGAGGCAGGCAGAAAACUGAAGCCAAGAGGCAUCCAUCAACCAACCUCAAUACAACUCCAGCCAUGAAUCAUCCUCUUCAAGAUGGGUGGCUUUCUUCCGAAUCAUCACCUGUUAAUGCAGUAUAUUCCCUGCCUGGCCAGGCACCCCAACGAGACCUCAAACGCCUUCAGGGCGAUGGAUCGGAGACUCCCGACUCUGAGGAAAUGGCUGAGCUAAGAAAACGUCAGCAGCAUGUUGCUCAACUUCAGUCUGGGGGACAUGACGAUGGGGCAGAUUGGCUUCAUGACAGUAGGGCUCAACCUGAGGGAGAAGAGGAGCACCACCAGAGUUCAAACAUCUCCAGCACUUCACUCAGUGACCUCAUGGAAAAAAUACGACAUAGAGGUCACCGGGGAUCAGUAUCUCGUGAUAAUUCAAUUGCUUCCAAUUUAUCAGAACUUGUCACCUCACCUUUAGGGUCCAAGAGAUUUCCUUUCAAGCGAGAAGACUCUGUUUGCUCUAAUUUAUCUGACUUUGCUCCUUCUGAAUGUUCAGAGAUGUCCCUGGAUGUUUCUGUACGAGAAGAUUUGGCGUGCAAGACAUUUACUUGCUUGGAUGACAUUGAGCAGGAGAUAGAUGACCUCAAGUCUUCUAUGUUAGAAAUGGAUGAAGAAGUCACAAAGUUUUCAUCAAGGCCAAACCCAUACACCUUCAAGACCACCUUCUCUGACCACUCUGUUACUUCAGGGGAUUCACGUCCCAACUCAGCCAUGGGGAUUGUUAACGCUCAUCGUUCAAGGGCAAACUUCAAAGGACUCAUAACAGCAAAGACCAAUGGAUCAUCAGACUCUGAGGCUGUAGAAGCAAGUGGAGGUGAGCCAUCACAACCAACCAGCCACGGAGUCUCAGGUUCAGAAGCUGAAGGCUCAUAUGAAUGGGAUUCCCCUCAACACGGCUGGUCUAGUGCUCGUGCUCCUCCUCUCUCACGACUGCCUGAACUUCCAUCUGAAGAUAAUGAAUCAUUGCCUGCAUCAGUGCAGGAUGAUCUGAUGCCAUCCUUGGAGUGGGAUAACGGCUGUUUACGUCAGUAUGCAGAAGCUACGACCUCGCAAGAAGAUCAACUUGAUGAAGUCUUCCACCCUGUAUCUUGUGAUAGCUUUGCAGAGCUUGGAGGCUUUGAAGAAUAUAAAGUAGCAUGUAGAAGGCAACAGCUGUUGCCAGAUCAUUCAUCUCUGGAGUUGGACUUGGAGGAGGAACUAAUGUCCACCACUGGGCCAGUAACAGAAGCACCUGACCUACAUAAUGCCCCAAUGACCAUCUCUAUUGACUCAGCCAUCCACUCUGGCACUGGGUCACGUUCUACCUCUUCCAGCCCACUUCCUCUUGGCUUGGGUCACUCUCUGCUCAGCUCAUCGGGCCUGGCUAGCAGCUCAGAAAUAUCCCCCGCAACUCCUGAUUCUGAAACCACGGGCUGGCCUGGCUGGGAGCGUCGGAUAGGCCCUGGUGAGUUCGGUAGCAAGGCCCGUCGCUACUGGAGCUCGGAAGAGAGCGGGUUUAUGGAAGGUCUUGACGCACCUCUGGACACCUCAUUACACGCGCACCUUUCUCCUGUGCAUGAAAUCAAAGAGAAAGAGGGUUCAGAAAGCAGCACCUCUACUCCUCUGCGUCGUAUUGACAACUGGAACUCCACCGUCACAGACGAAAACAUAAACAACACCAGUGACAACAACCUCAACAACAACCUCAUCAUGGGGAACAAGGCCAGCACAGGCAAUGAUAAUGACCUCCUCUCCUACACCUCCUCUGAUCUAACACCAACUCAGGAUACCCACACAGCUAUUGGACCCAAACUUGAACUUACUAAAUAUGCCAACACAGAAUGGCAGGGUAACACACCGAAGGCACAAAAUAUUAAACAGGUUAUUAAAUCUGCCAUGCCUAAGUAAACACACUAUAAUAUGAGCAGAUUUGUAAUUGCUCAACAUCACUUAUAUUGGGUUACUCUUCCAUUCCCAUUGAACUUAGUUUUACCCAUUUACGGAAAGUACGAGGAGACAACUAUUGUGGCAUACGUGCUGCCUUGUACCAGAUGCUCUCCCUCGGCCUCUCAUU